GCUGGGCGUGGUGGCGCACCCCUGUAAUCCCAGCUACUUGGGAGGCUGAGGUAGGAGAAUUGCUUGAACCUGGGAGGCGGAGGUUGCAGUGAGCCGAGAUUGCGCCACUGCACUCCAGCCUGGGUGACAGAGCAAGACUCUGUCUCCA
ensembl:misc_RNA Metazoa_SRP Metazoan signal recognition particle RNA